rnacentral:rRNA from 1 species
AGUUUGAUCCUGGCUCAGUUGAACGCUGGCGGGAUGCUUUACACAUGCAAGUCGAACGGCAGCGGACUUCGGUCUGGUGGCGAGUGGCGAACAGUUAGGUAAUGUAUCGGAACGUGCCUAGUAGCGGGGGAUAACUACGCGAAAGCGUAGCUAUUCCACAUACAUGCACUUCGGGGAAAGCGGGGGACGCGCGGGCCUCGCACUGGCCAGAGCGGCCGAUAUCGGAUUAGCUAGUUGGUGGGGUAACGGCUCGCAAGGCGACGAUCCGUAGCUGAAAGUUUCGAGGGGACGACCAGCCGCACUGGGACUGAGACUGGCCCAGACUCCUACGGGAGGCAGCGGUGGAGAUUUUGGACAAUGGGGGAAACCCUGAUCCAGCCAUCCACGUGUGCGAUGAAAGGCCUUCGGGUUGUAAAGCACUUUUGGCAGGAAAGAAACGGCACGGGAUAAUACCCGUGCAGCUGUUGUGUACCUGCAGGAAUAAGCCGGCUAACUACGUGCCAGCAAGCCCGCCGAUAAUACGUAAGUGCAAGCGUUAAUCGGAAUUACUGAGCAAAGCGUGCGCAGGCGGUUCGGAAAAGAAAAGAUCUUGAAAUCCCAGAGCUUAACUUUGGAACUGCAUUUUUAUACUGCGAGCUAGAGUGUGUCAGAGGGAGGUGGAAUUCCCGCGUGUAGCAGUGAAAUGCGUAGAUAGGAGGAACGAUGGCGAAGGCGGCCUCACAGGAUAACACUGACGCUCAUGCACGAAAGCGUGGGAGCAAACAGGAUUAGAUACCCUGUUCAGUCCACGCCUAAACGAUGUCAACUAGCUGUUGGGGCCUUCCGGGCCUUGGUGGCGCAGCUAACGCUGAGGUCGGCCGCCUGGGAGUACGGUCGCAAGAUUAAAACUCAAAGGAAUUGACGGGGACCUUACACAAGCGGUGGAUAGUGUGGAUUAAUUCGAUGCAACGCGAAACCUUACUACCCUUGACAUGUCUGGAAUCCCGAAAGAGAUUUGGGAGUACUCGCAAGAGGAACCGGAACACAGGUGCUGCACGCAGGCAUGUCGACUCGUGUCGUGAGAUGUUGGGUUAAGUCCACAACGAAGGCGCAGCCCUUGUCAUUAGUUGCUACGAAAGGGCACUCUAAUGAGACUGCCGGUGACAAACCGGAGGAAGGUGGGGAUGACGUCAAGUCCUCAUGGCCCUUAUGGUGAAGACUACGUCAUACAAUGGUCGGGACAGAGGUCGCCAACCCGCGAGGGAGCCAAUCCAGGAAACCCGAUCGUAGUCCGGAUCACCGAUCACAGCUCGAACUGCGUGAAGUCGAAUCGCUUCAAGUAAUCGCGGAUCAGCAUGUCGCAGGUAGAAUACGUUCCCGGGUCUUGUACACACCGCCCGUCACACCAUGGGAGUGGGUUUACCAGAAGUAGUUAGCCUAACCGUAAGGAGGCGAUUACCGCAUUAGGAUUCGCUGACUGGGGUGAAGUCGUAACAAGGUAG